AUUUCUUCCCCAAAAGGCAAAAACAUAAUCGUUGGAACAAAUAACAAAGGCAAAUUUUCCUGAACUAAGUUAAAGAGUUGCCAAAAGAAGGGGUUCACGCCUCACUACGCUGGAUUUUCAAACUAUACAUGUAUAAAGGGGAAAAACAUUCAGUUUACAACCAGGGCAUCCGCUACACAGCAUGCAACAAGGCGCUACUACAGGGCACGAAUAACUACAACUAUGUGGAGCUUGUGUGAGGAAACAUGUCAUGCAGGGCUUGACGAAGAUUCAAGACAAUUUCUGCAUAUGCUUGUGGAAGACCCAUGGUCCGGAGUGCAUGCUCUGCAUACGUCAAACGUGCUGGGAUAGGGUGACUUCCAACUCCAUUUCCUUUCAGAUGCGAGGCAAUUUUAUCAGAAGAUCUCUUGGAUUGGUGCAUAGGCCAUGCCAGGACACUAACCCCAGUGGGAAGUGUAGAGAUCAGAUCUGCAUAUCUCAGACCCACUGUCACCUUGGAAUCAAAAUCUUCAAUCACAAACUCAAUCAUAUGGUAUGGAAGACUAUGAUAGAGUUCACCAAUUUGAUUUCCAUACAACUCUUUAAUAAGCCGAACCUGUUCCCGUCUAUCUACAUACGCUUGCAACAGAUCUCCAACAUGGUCAAUAAAUCUUAUUGCAUUUGACGAGAGAAACUCAUUUUCAGCUUCACGU
rnacentral:misc_RNA from 1 species